rnacentral:rRNA from 1 species
GCAUAUCAAUAAGCGGAGGAAAAGAAACUAACUAGGAUUCCCUUAGUAACGGCGAGUGAACCGGGAUGAGCUCAAAUUUAAAAUCUGGCGUCUUUCAGGCGUCCGAGUUGUAAUCUAUAGAGGCGUUUUCCGCGCCGGACCGCGUCCAAGUCUCUUGGAAUAGAGUAUCAAAGAGGGUGACAAUCCCGUACUUGACGCGACAACCGGUGCUCUGUGAUACGUUCUCAAUGAGUCGAGUUGUUUGGGAAUGCAGCUCUAAAUGGGUGGUAAAUUCCAUCUAAGGCUAAAUAUUGGCGAGAGACCGAUAGCGAACAAGUACCGUGAGGGAAAGAUGAAAAGCACUUUGGAAAGAGAGUUAAACAGCACGUGAAAUUGUUAAAAGGGAAACGAUUGAAGUCAGUCGUGUGAAAGGUAUUCAGCCGUCUCUGGCGGUGUAUUUGCCUUUCACGGGUCAACAUCAGUUUGAUCCGGUAGAAAAAGGCGGGAGGAAGGUGGCACCCUCGGGUGUGUUAUAGCCUCCUGUCAUAUGUGCCGGACCAGACUGAGGAACGCAGCUUGCCGCAAGGCCGGGGUUCGCCCACGUACAAGCUUAGGAUGUUGACAUAAC